ensembl:lncRNA
GGUGGAUAAACCAUGACAGCAAUAUUAAAAAAUGAAUAAAAAACGAAUAAAAAACGUCGGUAAUUACCAAAAAUGUGGAGCAGCCGUGCCAUAAUCCUCGCAUUGAGUGGUAUGGAUGGUAUACUCUAUAUCUGUCUGAACACAGUGCAAAAACAUGUACGAUGAGGAAAUUUAUCCUAAUAUUGAAUUUGAUGCCAGGAGCAUAUUUUCAACAGUUGGAAAAGGAGCCAUUUAUCCUGGUGAAAGAUUAAGCCUUGUUCAAACACACUGUAUGCAUUUUGAACCUGAGGAGCACAGCUGCAGUAGUUUUCAACAUGUUUUCCCUUUCUUGGGUGACUGAUUAAGGAUCUGCUCCACAGUUUGGGCCUCAUGCAUUUUUUGCAACAUAACGCGCUGAUGCAUGUCAGAAAUGAACUUCAGGCCAGUUUAGCAUUCUGAUUUACCGAUUCCACAGCUAAGCUUUUGUUUUUUUUUGUGGUUUUUUUUUGUUUUGUUUUGUUGUUUUUUUUGUUGUUGUUUUUUUUGUUAUGACGGUACUAUCUUGCUUAAAUAAGCAAAGUCUUCCCCUAAAAAGAGGUCAUCUGGAUGAUGGUCAUUCAUGCUUCUGCAUCACAUUGUUAAAGCUUACCAUAUAAUGCUUCUGAACUGGCAUUCUCCUCCUCAGAAAUUUAUAUACACAGAUUUUAAAGUUUAUGUGAUGAUAUAUAGUCCUGCAGUAUAAAAUGUAUGUGGUAACAUAAAAGAAAUACCGUUGCUUACUACCCCACUUGGAUGCUCUUAAGCAAGACACUUAUCCUUAACAGUUAGCAGAUGUAUUGUGCAUUUACAACAAACAUGAAGGUACCUUGUCUUGUGGUGUGAUUACAUGCAAACACUAUUCAACUGUGCCGGCCAGUGCAAGUAGUUAAGAUAGUUAAAAUAGUUAAUAUGUGAAAAACCAUCGGAUUGGAGUUUCCUCAUACACAAUCACACACUGAGCUCAAGUAUGGUGCCUGGAGUAAUAUGGGCAAAAUUGCAGGAAGUUAUGGUAACUUCUG